GCAGUGGUGGUUCAGUGGUAGAAUUCUCGCCUUCCAUGAGAGAGACCUGGGUUCAGUUCCUGGUCAAUGUA
rfam:Loxodonta africana unplaced genomic scaffold scaffold_67, whole genome shotgun sequence.